GAUUACCAUGUUUUGCGUUUCCUUAAUUAUUUUAGUUUACAACAACUUUCAAUAAGAAACAGAACAUAUAAGUGUGUCUGGUUUGCUCUUGAAGCAACUCCAAAUCCAAAGCUCCAAAAAGUUUUCUACUUCUUGGGUUGUUCAACUAGAACAUGACUUAUUGGCACUAACUAGAUUCGUAUUGGCUUUUGUUUUUCAGAUUUG